rnacentral:rRNA from 1 species
CAGCCCCAGCCCGUUCCCCUCCCCACCCAUACCGCCGCUGCUGGAGCCACCCACCGCCCCGCCUCCCUCACACAGACCUCACCGCCGGCCAUGGCCUUCCCCAACAGCCGCCGCUCCGGCCCUCUCCCCCUCCCCUCCCCUUAUCACAAGACAAGAGAAGAGAAGAGGGAGGGAAAUCGAUCGCGACCGAGCAGGUCAAGCGGCGACAAUGGCGCGCCCAGACCCGCCAGCGUCGUCGUCGUCGAGCUCUGCUGGGCGGCGCAGUCCGGUAGAGUAGGAAUGAGGGGGCGGUGGGACGCCUCCCCUGCUCGAGCUGCUCCAAGCGAGCGACCACAGCGCCGGAUCCACCUCCACAACCACCCCCCGGCGGCCACGGAAGGUCAGGGACCUUCGUCCGGUCCGUGUGCUUCUUCUCCAUGGAGCUCCGACACCGCAGCAGCCGCAUCCAUGGAAGGUCCCUCUUCUCCUCCCCGCCUCUCUCUCCCUCCCUCCCUCUGUUUGUUUCGAUCUGGAAACUGUCUGAUUCGAUUUCCUCACAUGCGCACGUGCUUCUUCCGCUCUCCGCUGCUCCAACCCUAGUGCCGACGCCAUGGACCUCGUCAAUCGUGGUUUGCUGCUGCCGCCGACCGUUUCCCUGACAAGUUGACACCAAAGCCACCAUUGUCAAAGCCGCCGUUGGCCGGCGUUGCCACUGGUCGCUGCUCCACGCAUCUUGUCGGUGCUGCGAGGCGAUGCCAUCUACAUAUGUUGCUGCAGCCUGGGAGGUGGCAGGGUCUCCAGGUGAUGCCCUCUUUGCUGCCCAAUCGUUGAAGAUGCCAUAGGACGAGAUCCUCUGCUGCUGCUGUGUCUGGUGGUUGAAGAAGGGGUGUGCUGGGAAGAGGAGGCAGUGUUGAGAGUGCUCGAUCUGGAACAGGACGAGCUUGGGCUGCAUCGGCUCUGGUUCUCAACCUCCAACAUGAGUCCCUUUCUUCCGUGCCUCGAACUCCAUGAGUCAUCAUGGGCACUGCAGAUGCGGAGGAGUUUUUCCGGGGCGAUCUGCUUGUUCCCGGUCGCGCUGGUGUCAACUACCUCGAGCCACUAUGACCAUCCCAACCACGCUCACCCCCCUGAACGAAUUGUUUGUGGAUCUGCAAAGGGGGAUUCAAUUAAUUUUCAGUUGUAGAAAAGGGAGAAGGGGGAUUCAAUUAAUUUUCCUCCUCAAGAUCAAAGAAACAAAAUCUUUGUGGCGAUGAUAGAAGGGUUCACGACUUCACGUUAAUACACAGACUAUUGGUAAGGGCAUUAAAACAUAUAUCUGCUGUGAAAUGGUCGUACAUGCUUGAUUAGAAUAUUUUCAAGUGUUGUAGGUGUACGGCUGUGGGGAAACAUUUUCAUGGUCUAAUUUUCUAAUUAAUGUAUGCACGAGACAUGAAUCUUGGAUUCUAAACUUUUUCCUCGAUGUUUGGGCUUCCUCUAACUUUUCGUAUAUUGCACACAACACAACACAUAGAUUCAUGUCUUCCAUGCUUGCUGUCUUGUAACAAACAGAUGUUGGGAUGGAUACUAAUUUCCUAAAUGAUUUGAACUCAUGUUGUUUUCUAUUCUACUGUCAUUGGUUCAUCAUUCUGAACCAUUCAAUUGUUGGAACUCCGGCAUAUAUUGGUCCUGAAGUUAUGCUGAAGAAAGAAUAUGAUGCAAGCUAUGAUCCAUCCUAUUUUGUGCUUUAAACGGUCUGCUGCAUACUCUGCCAUCUGCUGCAUAACUUAAUUCUGUUUGCUCGGCCAUAAAAGCCUUACUUGAUUUCUGAAUCUUCCAUUCACCUUUCGUUGUCAUGAGUGGUGAAUGGUCUUGAGGAGUAACCAUUUAGAUACUGUAUGUUUUUUUGCUCAAACACGAUCUCGACAUUGAUAAUAGCAGAGAGAUAAUAUACGCCUUAUAAUCUUGUAACUGUAGAAAAAAGUAUAGAUAACCCCCAGAAGUAUCCUGUUUGGAUCACAUAACCCCCCCAUGUUUAAAACCGAGUUCUUAAUCCCCUGAACUAUUCUAAACCAGACAUAUCACCCCCUAGCACCCACUUAAGUAGUUUGGGACCGUGCUUUUGCAUAUGUGGCGCCUGGGCUGGGCCCAUCGACCGGCCACGUCGGACUGGGCCUACUGGGUGCGGUCUAAAUGACGCCCUCGAGCAGGUUCGACCCAGACUAGGCCUCUUCGCCUCGCAAUUUAGCGUGAGCUUUUUAAUUUUUCAGCAGUGUACUACAGCAAAUUGUUGAUCAUUAUACUGUUCUGUAUGCAAUGCUAUGUUAAAGAAGGAAACUUUUGACAACAAAUAUUUUAUGACUGUACUAUUCUGUAUGGAAUGGUGUGUUGCAAGAUAUUUUAUCAGAAGUGUACAUAUUAUUGGCAUCAAAUUCAGAAAUAGACAGCAAAUUUCCAUAGCAUUGAAGAUCUUAAAUUCACACAAUAAGUUCCAUGGAAUACUCAGGUUCAACCUGAUAAAAGCUACAGGUCUUUGACAUGCAAAACUCCACAAACGACACUUAAUUGUCAAGGAGUUUGAUGUUUCACAUCAAAUAAAAGCACACACUUCUAUCUGGUGUUACACAUCAACUACGUGACAUUGAAAAACAAUCUGGGCAUUCACUUUUUCCGCAGUGAGAAGUCAUUCCAGCCUGUUAUUUGUUUGCACUUGCAUCUGCUGUGAGCUUGAAGAAGCCCUGUUGUGAAUGCUCAGAUUGUAUGUGCAUCUGCUGUGAGCUUGAAGAAGCACUUGCAUCAACUACGUAACUAUAUGUGCAGAAGUAGUUGUGGUGUUCCUUCCACCUUAUGAAUUAGUCUGUGAAGAGGUGAAUAGUCAGGAGCCCCAUGGAGCCAAACAAACAUUAUGUUCAGGCUACAGAUUAUAUUCAUACUACAGCUUGAGUCUGAAUUUGUAUUGAUACACGAAAAUGUCAUGUGUGCCAAGAAAAGUAUGUUAACUGUACAAUCAAUUUUGGUGUGCAUUUCUUAUUUAUUUUUGAGUCGGACGUGUGCAUUUCUAAUUAGAAGUAGAAGAAGAAAGAUGUGACACGGACUUCCUAAGAUCACAUACACAUAGUUGAAUAGUAUAAUUAGAAUAAUAAUAAUAAAAUUCAAAAAGCUUAUUUAUUUUGGCUACAAAUUUGCUGGAGUGUUAUAGAUGUGCAUACCAUUUCGUGAAGGAAUAACAUAAAUGGUGGUCGGGACAAAUGAAAAUUGAUCAUUUUUAAAGCUUCUUGGAGCAUCGAUUUUGUUUAAUAUUGUGCAAAGCAUCACAAAUAUUUUUUCUUCAUGAAAUUUUGCACAUAACCAAAAAAUGUAAUUUUGUUGGGGAGCAGGAUUGCACAUGUGAUCUAAGAUAAAGAUAUAAGUACUGUUAGACAUGAGACCUACUCGCGCACAUGUCAAUCUCAAUAUGCAUCUUGUUGUUCCGUGCAACGCACAGGCAUCUUACUAGUGUUAUCCUAAAAUUGGCUAAUUGUGGCUCAUAUUGUUUUCCCUAGGUAGCUCAUGGCGAGUGAUGGUGUUAUCAUAAAAUUGGCUAAUUGUGGCUCAUAUUGUUUUCCCUAGGUAGCUCAUGGCGAGUGAUGCGUGAGCCGUCUCGAUCCUUUUGCUAUGUUAUUAUAUUUUAGCCAUGAAGGAUUUACUGCUUGUCAGUUCGUAGUGGUUCCGGCUGUUUGCUGAACUUCUGUUCUUGCUUGUGCUAUUUUUUUUACUGUUUAGAUGGCUCAAUUUACUUCCAAUUUUACUCUUGAGUUUUCCCAUGCAUGCAUACUCUUAUACCCCUCCUACUUGCUUGUUGGUCCUAUGCUCUGCCUUUGUGAGGUGUAAUUGUUCAAUUUUGUUCAUAGUCGAGCAUUGGAUGAUAUUGUAUUUGUCAUGAUGUGCAUGGUUCAUGAACUAUGCUAACCUGCAGCUUCGUUGUACUACUGAUAGUAGGAUAAUGCAAGUUUUGACAAUACAUGCAUGUUUCUGCAUCAUAAUAAUCUUCUUCUUCUAGUCUUCUUCUUCUAACUUUCUUCUUUCCCAUUUUACAAAUUUGCUUAAGAUCAUGGAAGCUUGGGUUUAUGGAGUGCUUGUAUUUAGUUUUUGUUUUGACGUUGUGAAACUUGCUACCUAUGGAUGAAAUUGUGUAAUAUUGAUGAAACUAUGUAUAUGUACGGAUGAAACUUGC